rnacentral:rRNA from 1 species
UGGGGAAUAUUGCGCAAUGGCCGAAAGGCUGACGCAGCGACGCCGCGUGGGGGAUGAAGCAUUUCGGUGUGUAAACCCCUGUUGCCCGGGACGAACCGGCGGAUUUUUCCGCUCUGACGGUACCGGGUGAGGAAGCACCGGCUAACUCCGUGCCAGCAGCCGCGGUAAUACGGAGGGUGCGAGCGUUGUCCGGAAUCACUGGGCGUAAAGGGCGCGUAGGCGGUUGGCUAAGCGUGCGGUGAAAGCCCGGGGCUCAACCCCGGGUCUGCCGUGCGAACUGGCCGACUCGAGCACUGUAGAGGCAGGCGGAAUUCCGGGUGUAGCGGUGGAAUGCGUAGAGAUCCGGAAGAACACCGGUGGCGAAGGCGGCCUGCUGGGCAGUAGCUGACGCUGAGGCGCG